ACAAAGCUUAUCGAGUGGACCUAAGGGAAUGGAAACAUCGAAAUACAGGAAGGAAUGUAAAGAUAUUCGAUUCCGUAAGUAGCAGCGAGCGAACGCGGAUUAGCCAAAACCAAAAAAGUUAUCUUUAGUGGGGUUGCGGACAUAUCAUAACGGAGAGGUAUCGUAAUUGAAGAGGUUUGGAAAGACCCACCACAGAAGGUAAUAGUCCUGUAUGUUAAAUGAGAAGACUUUAGAUAUGAUCCAGAGUACCACUGGACACGUGAAACCCUGUGGGAAGCAGGAGGGACCACCCUCCAAGGCUAAAUACUACCUAGUGACCGAUAGCGUAUAGUACCGUGAGGGAAAGGUGAAAAGAACCCCGGGAGGGGAGGGAAAUAGAACCUGAAACCCUGCACUUACAAGCUGUGGAAGCAAAUUUCUUGUGUGACCGCGUACUUAUUGUAGAACGGGCCAACGAGUUACGUUAAGGAGCAAGGUUAAGCACUUAAGGUGGGGAG
rnacentral:rRNA from 1 species